rnacentral:rRNA from 1 species
UACGUAGGGGGCAAGCGUUGUCCGGAAUCAUUGGGCGUAAAGAGCGUGUAGGCGGCCAGAUAAGUCCGCUGUGAAAUCUCGAGGCUCAACUUCGAGCUGUCGGUGGAAACUGUCUGGCUAGAGUCCGGAAGAGGAGAAUGGAAUUCCUGGUGUAGCGGUGAAAUGCGCAGAUAUCAGGAAGAACACCCGUGGCGAAGGCGGCUCUCUGGACAGUUCCUGACGCUGAGGCACGAAGGCCAGGGGAGCAAACGGG